AUAUGGGCUAGACUGGAGAGUUAGGGGUCCUCUGUAAGCGCAAAUCCCCUAUACGGCGCGGUCGAAGUUCAAGAGGCGGCAAGCUGAAUGGACAUUGGCCCAGAAUCUCAACGUAGAAACCUCGUCCCGCAGGAUCGGUGGUGGCAGGAUUUCAGCCGUAGGGCUGAAGUUAACUGUCUUAACUGUGGGAACGGGUCAGGUCUGGAAAGAAGCAGCUCUACUGCAGACAGCUGAUGCUUGUGGAGCAACGGGGCGGAGUUGGGGUUUUGGAUCACCAUUGUUCAGGAGGUUUGUCCACUCUUGAACGGGCCCAUUC
rfam:Methanobacterium sp. A39 contig_57, whole genome shotgun sequence.